rnacentral:rRNA from 1 species
AGAUUGAACGCUGGCGGCAGGCCUAACACAUGCAAGUCGAGCGGUAGAGAGGUGCUUGCAUCUCUUGAGAGCGGCGGACGGGUGAGUAAUGCCUAGGAAUCUGCCUAGUGGUGGGGGAUAACGUUCGGAAACGGACGCUAAUACCGCAUACGUCCUACGGGAGAAAGCGGGGGACCUUCGGGCCUCGCGCCAUUAGAUGAGCCUAGGUCGGAUUAGCUAGUUGGUGAGGUAAUGGCUCACCAAGGCGACGAUCCGUAACUGGUCUGAGAGGAUGAUCAGUCACACCGGAACUGAGACACGGUCCGGACUCCGUACGGGAGGCAGCGAGUGGGGAAUAGUUGGAACAAGUGGGCGCGAAGCCUGAUCCAGCAAUGCCGCGUGUGUAGGAAGAAGGUCCGUUAGGGUUGUAAGACCUAAGUUUAAGUUAGGGUAAAAGAAAAAACCGUACGACUACUAACC